rnacentral:rRNA from 1 species
GGCGUGCUUAACACAUGCAAGUCGAACGGAAAGGCCCUGCUUGCAGGGUACUCGAGUGGCGAACGGGUGAGUAACACGUGGGUGAUCUGCCCUGCACUUCGGGAUAAGCCUGGGAAACUGGGUCUGAUACCGGAUAGGACCAUCGUUUAGUGUCGGUGGUGGAAAGUUUUUCGGUGCAGGAUGAGCUCGCGGCCUAUCAGCUUGUUGGUGGGGUAAUGGCCUACCAAGGCGUCGACGGGUAGCCGGCCUGAGAGGGUGGACGGCCACAUUGGGACUGAGACACGGCCCAGACUCCUACGGGAGGCAGCAGUGGGGAAUAUUGCACAAUGGGCGCAAGCCUGAUGCAGCGACGCCGCGUGGGGGAUGAAGGCCUUCGGGUUGUAAACUCCUUUCAACCAUGACAAAGCAUUAUGUGACGGUAGUGGUAGAAGAAGCACCGGCUAACUACGUGCCAGCAGCCGCGGUAAUACGUAGGGUGCGAGCGUUGUCCGGAAUUACUGGGCGUAAAGAGCUCGUAGGUGGUUUGUCGCGUCGUCUGUGAAAUUCCGGGGCUUAACUCCGGGCGUGCAGGCGAUACGGGCAUAACUUGAGUGCUGUAGGGGAGACUGGAAUUCCUGGUGUAGCGGUGAAAUGCGCAGAUAUCAGGAGGAACACCGAUGGCGAAGGCAGGUCUCUGGGCAGUAACUGACGCUGAGGAGCGAAAGCAUGGGUAGCGAACAGGAUUAGAUACCCUGGUAGUCCAUGCCGUAAACGGUGGGCGCUAGGUGUGGGGGUCUUCCACGACUUCUGUGCCGUAGCUAACGCAUUAAGCGCCCCGCCUGGGGAGUACGGCCGCAAGGCUAAAACUCAAAGGAAUUGACGG